UCCUUGUUUCUUCUUACAGUAAGUACAAUUGUAGCAUAUGGCGCAUAGAUGUCGGGAUGUCCAGUGGAGUUCUUAAUUCCAGACCAGAGAAGCUUGGCCCCUAUUGUAGAAAGGUACUUAGCUUGAGCUGAAAAAACUAGCAGUUGAGUUGUUUUGGAAAGACCGUCAUCAUCCAUAUCGUAAAAAGAAGAAAGCUUUCAACGGAAAAUCAGAGUAUGGUAAAAGAAAAGCUGCUCAAAAUUAUGUGACUGAUCGAUUGAUUAUCAUGCAGAUUUCAAUAUAUGAAAUUAAUCCUCAGUGAUAUAAGAGAGAUUUUUCUUAAUAAUUACAUUCUCUGUGAGUGCACAAUAUUUAAUUCCAAGCUUGCAUAUGUUUGUUUACUUUUUUUUAUAGUCCUGAAGCAGUAGAAUGUCAUGUAGUUAAACUAAUUUACUCGGAGAAUGGCAAUGCAA